ensembl:lncRNA
CCCUCCCCUCUCCGUCGACCACAUCAAAAACAAGAGGAGGCAUCCAGAGGACAUGUGACGGCAGCCAUUUUGGCCUCGACUUGUCAGCACCGAGGCGCCGAGGGAACAUUUGGUCCAACUCAUCAGUGGAGAGUAAAUAGACGCAAACCCUUUUCUGGCCGUGUGGAAGUGAUCCGUGAGAGCGCAUCAUUUCUUUCCCCACCACGUCUGGCAUUCAGUCUAUCGGUGGGACAUCAACACUCUCCAUCUUCUGUGCGGGAGCUUUCCGAUAGGGGUUAAUGGAUGGGGCAGGAUGAAGCAUUGUGUCCCCGCCGACGGAGGUUGCCAUUUGUUUUGUGCGGGAUCAAGGAGGAGAUCCACAGUUUGGUGCCUGUCGGAGAUGAUGGACGAACGUCUCCAUGUGAAACCAUUACACACCGUCACCGGGGGAAACACAUCACACAUCACUGCCUUCAUUCGACAUUUUCUUCGGUGAAAUGUUUACAUCGUUUUGUGCCUAAAACGGACCCUUCGGAAUUUUAUGACACUUUUAUGAAUGUGGCAGAUUGAAGUAAAACAACAACAGAUGUUAAUUUGAUUCCUGGUGGAUCCGAUGAAGGUGCGAGUGGGAUGGAAUCCAUGUUCCCUAAUGGUGUUGACACUCUUGGGAGCCCAAUAAAGAAUAUUUCCUUACAUAACAGUGCCUAUAAGCGCACAACAUGAUCCACUGAUUAUGAAUUAGUACCCGUCCCGAUACAGCGGUUGCCCUGAAGGCUUCUGGUCCCAAGGUCUCACUAAGCUUAGCAUUUAGCAUCACAGGGAAGUUGUGGUACUGCCAGCGUGGUGUUGUUACAGGGAGCCACAGACUGGAGCUGUGAAUAUCAACCGGCGUCACUAUUGAUCUG